UUGCGCGCGAAUACAUGCCGGUUUGUAUGGGCCGGCGUGCUUGCGUGUGUCUAGUGCGUACGUGUUUUGUGAGCGUGUUUCUGUGUGGGUCACUGUGUGUGCGUCCACGUGUUAGCGUGUCUGCCUGCAUGUAUGUGUGAUUGUUUGUGUUUAUCAAUGUGCGCGUGCGUGCCUUUGUGUCUGCGCUUUGAGAGUGCGUAUAUUUGUGUGCGUGCGUAUGUAUUGCAUAAGGCCGGUAGAAUUUUACUCGCAAUAAAACUCUUCCAAUUUGGUGCAGCGAGUGUUGCCGCCUGAAAGCCGAGUUUGGUUUCAAGCCAACCUGGACAACUGCUGUAUGAGGCGCUGUUUCGCAGGAGGAUCAGUGGGAAGGCGUCAGGUCAUGCAGAUGAUAGCAUCAAUUUCACAAUGCCCAGCCUUGGUGCCCUCCAUUAAGAGCAAGCCACUUGCGUUCGCCUUCAGGCAGAUGGUUGAUGUCUUCUAGGAAGCAGUUGGGAAGACUACAUUGAUGCAAGAUUCCAGCAAUGCCAUGCGCUGCAUUUAUUGGUCAAGAUGCUCAGAGAAUGGAGUCCCUGCACCUCGUGGUGAAACGUGAACAUUUUCUUUCUUUUGGAAAGCUAAACGUCAUUUGCUGUAUCAAUUGCAUUCUUGAAGCUCAGAUGUGUACUAUAUUUUUUCUAAUUUUGAAUCAAUUAAUAUUCACUUUUCUGUAUAAAAAUGACGUACAGUGUGCAGGACAAGGACUGCGAGAGAUGACAUACACUGCGCUGACUUCCAACAAUAUUUUAUUGCGUUGCCACAUCGUGUGUUUAUACACAAGAAGGGCCAUGCGCAGAAAAUGAAAGGCAGUCGCAAGGGGUGUUCUAACAGCAAGUCAUUGUACUAAGAACAUGGUCACUAAAAAAAAUCACAAUUUCUAUCUGUGGAGAUACAAGACUUCACUAGGGGUCAGCGUGAUAGAGGGGGCACUAACGCACACACUACCCAUUUUUCUGGUGAAAUAAGCAUCAAUAAUGUACCGGGUGAGCUGUGUUUCGCUAGAACUUGCGUAUCUUCAAAGAGGGGCAUGCAGCGGCAGUCCCGGCAAUGAAUGCCCAAGUGGCCUUGAACAGUGUUAUGGACGUUAUAGUGCACUUUUAAACGAUCAUUUAGGCACCUGCCUGUCCGUCCAACAUAUUUACUGCCUCAAAACGGGAAUAUGGUAAACCACAUUCGUUACACAUAUCGCAAAACGUUUUCUGUGCCCGACAGAGCAAGAACUCUGACACGAUUUAGGCGCGUUUACACGCUUAUAGAGCUUUGCCAGCUUUUCCGGGGCUGAGAAAAGGACUGGGAUUCCUGGAGGUUGCCAAAUCUUUUUUUAGCCUAUCGGACACAUCAUGCACAUACGGUAGCACUGCGAACCAGUCUUUCAACCGGCUGGUUCCUUGACUGAGUGCGCUCAUCACGUUUUGUGCCCUUCAGAAGCUGUUCUGCUAUGGCUGAAAUUAGGGCCAAAGGGUAGCCAGCCCAAGAAAGGCGAUCAACCUGUGCAGCAAGACUAUCUUGCAUUUCAUGUGAGCAAGAUUUAUUGAGGCUGUUAACGAGGCAAAUCUUUACAAUACCUUGUUUAACAAGCUUUGAAUGUGCAGAGUUAAAGGGCAAGAGUGACUUUUUACUUCUCGGUUCAAAGCACUAGCCCACCUGUUUAUUUGUAAGGCACUGCCUGAGAUCAAGAAAGCGCAAAGAAUCGUCAGUGGGGACCCCAUUUGUUAGUUCUAGAGGCUGCAGCUCUUAAAGAUCUCCAAGUCUCCCAAGCAGCAGGCUCAAAAGCAUGAUCAGUGCAAUCAAUAAAUACCAGGUAGUCGUCCACAAACUUGCACACUUUGACAACGAGAGACGCAUCUAGGGGACCUUGAAUAUUUCAAUCAUGAUUAGCUAGAUAAAUAUCACUCAGUGGCGGCGCCAGGCACGAUCCUGCACAAUAUACAAAUAAAUGGUACUUGUAUAGGAUCAUGCCUGGCGCCGCCACUAUGUUAUAUUUAUCUCGCUCAUCAUGAUUGCAAUAUUGAAGGUCACCUAGAUGCGUCUCCUGUCAAAGUGUGCAGGUUUGUGAGUGACCACGUGGUAUUCAUUGAUUGCGCUGAUCACGCUUUCGAGCCUGUUGCUUCGGGAGUCUUGGAGAUGUUUAAGAAAGCCUCUACAACUAACGCAUGAGGUCCCCAUUGAUGAUUCCUCGCGCUUUGUAGAUCUCAGGCUGGUGCUUCGAUCUGAGAAGUAAGAAGUCACUCUUGCCCUUUAACUCUGCACACUCAAAGCUCGUUAAAUGAGGUAUUAAAAGUUUUCCCUCGUUAACAGCCUCAAUAAAUCUUGUUCACACAAGAUGCAACAUAGUCUUGCUGCACAGGUUGAUCACCUUUCUAGGGUUGACUACCCUUUGGCCUUAAUUUCAGCCAUAGUGGAACAGCUUCUGAGGGGCACAAACCGUGAUGAGCCCGCUCAGUCAAGGAACCAACCGGUUGAAAGACAUAGGUUCGCAGUGCCACCGGUGGGUAUGUGCAUGAUGUCUCCGAUAGGCUAAAAAAGAUUCGGCAACCUCCAGGAAUCACAGGCCUUUUCUCAACCC